UACAGAGGGGGCAAGCGUUAUUCGGAAUUAUUGGGCGUAAAGGGCGCGUAGGCGGCUUUUCAAGUGACGGGUGAAAUCCCUCGGCUUAACCGAGGAACUGCCUGUCAGACUGGAAGGCUUGAGACCGGGAGAGGUGAGUGGGAUUCCCAGUGUAGCGGUGAAAUGCGUAGAUAUUGGGAGGAACACCAGUGGCGAAGGCGGCUCACUGGACCGGAACUGACGCUGAGGCGCGAAAGCGUGGGGAGCAAACAGG
rnacentral:rRNA from 1 species